UACGUAGGGGUGCGAGCGUUAAUCGGAAUUACUGGGCGUAAAGCGCGCGCAGGCGGCAUCGUAAGCCCAGUGUUUAACGCUCGGAGCUCAACUCCGAUACGCACUGGGAACUGCGAGGCUUGAGUGCAGAAGGAGGAAAGUGGGAAAUUCCACGUGUAGCGGUGAAAUGCGUAGAGAUGUGGAGGAACACCAGUGGCGGAAGGCGACCUUCUGGGCUGUAACUGACGCUGAGGCGCGAAGCGUGGGAGCAAACAG
rnacentral:rRNA from 1 species